GCUUACGGCCAUACCACCCUGAGCACGCCCGACCUUGUCUGAUCUCGGAAGCUAAGCCUGGCUGGGCUUGGUUAGUACUUGGAUGGGAGACUACCUGGGAAUACCUGGUGCUGUAAGCC
rnacentral:rRNA from 1 species